AGUGAACGCUGGCGGUAGGCCUAACACAUGCAAGUCGAACGGCAGCACAGUAAGAGCUUGCUCUUACGGGUGGCGAGUGGCGGACGGGUGAGGAAUACAUCGGAAUCUACUUUUUCGUGGGGGAUAACGUAGGGAAACUUACGCUAAUACCGCAUACGACCUACGGGUGAAAGCAGGGGAUCUUCGGACCUUGCGCGAUUGAAUGAGCCGAUGUCGGAUUAGCCAGUUGGCGGGGUAAAGGCCCACCAAGGCGACGAUCCGUAGCUGGUCUGAGAGGAUGAUCAGCCACACUGGAACUGAGACACGGUCCAGACUCCUACGGGAGGCAGCAGUGGGGAAUAUUGGACAAUGGGCGCAAGCCUGAUCCAGCCAUACCGCGUGAGUGAAGAAGGCCUUCGGGUUGUAAAGCCCUUUUGUUGGGAAAGAAAAGCAGCAGGUUAAUACCCCGCUGUUCUGACGGUACCCAAAGAAUAAGCACCGGCUAACUUCGUG
rnacentral:rRNA from 1 species